CAACUGGUGUUUUUUAACACCACCCUUUGCGAAAGAAAAGCUUCU
rfam:Pythium ultimum DAOM BR144 ctg_1117875580556, whole genome shotgun sequence.